rnacentral:tRNA from 7 species
CGCGGGGUAGAGCAGUAGGUAGCUCGUCGGGCUCAUAACCCGGAGGUCGCACGUUCGAGUCGUGUCUCCGCUACUA